rnacentral:tRNA from 1 species
GGUCGUGGCUCAGAGGUAGAGUGCUUGCCUAGCAUACAUGAGGCACUGGGUUUGAUCCUCAGCACCA